GAUGAACGCUGGCGGCGUGCCUAAUACAUGCAAGUCGAGCGAACGGACGAGAAGCUUGCUUCUCUGAUGUUAGCGGCGGACGGGUGAGUAACACGUGGAUAACCUACCUAUAAGACUGGGAUAACUUCGGGAAACCGGAGCUAAUACCGGAUAAUAUUUUGAACCGCAUGGUUCAAAAGUGAAAGACGGUCUUGCUGUCACUUAUAGAUGGAUUCGCGCUGCAUUAGCUAGUUGGUAAGGUAACGGCUUACCAAGGCAACGAUGCAUAGCCGACCUGAGAGGGUGAUCGGCCACACUGGAACUGAGACACGGUCCAAACUCCUACGGGAGGCAGCAGUAGGGAAUCUUCCGCAAUGGGCGAAAGCCUGACGGAGCAACGCCGCGUGAGUGAUGAAGGUCUUCGGAUCGUAAAACUCUGUUAUUAGGGAAGAACAUAUGUGUAAGUAACUGUGCACAUCUUGACGGUACCUAAUCAGAAAGCCACGGCUAACUACGUG
rnacentral:rRNA from 1 species